rnacentral:rRNA from 1 species
UAAGACGGACCGUCCGAACGUUACUCGGAAUUACUGGGCUUAAAGGGUGCGUAGGCGGCUUUGCAAGUCGGGUGUGAAAGCCCUCGGCUCAACCGAGGAACUGCACUCGAUACUGCGAGGCUCGAGGAAGAUAGAGGUGAGCGGAACUUGCGGUGGAGCGGUGAAAUGCGUUGAUAUCGCAAGGAACACCGGAGGCGAAAGCGGCUCACUGGGUCUUUCCUGACGCUGAGGCACGAAAGCUAGGGGAGCGAACGGGAUUAGAUACCCCGGUAGUCCUAGCCCUAAACGAUGAGCACUAGACCGAGGAACUCUCCAUGGUUUCUUGGUCGUAGGGAAACCGUUAAGUGCUCCGCCUGGGGAGUAUGGUCGCAAGGCUGAAACUCAAAGGAAUUGACGGGGGCUCACACAAGCGGUGGAGGAUGUGGCUUAAUUCGAGGCUACGCGAAGAACCUUAUCCCGGUCUUGACAUGCACGGAUUAACCCCGUGAAAGCGGGGCCACGCCUCUCUGAGGUGGAACGUGUACAGGUGCUGCAUGGCUGUCGUCAGCUCGUGUCGCGAGAUGUCGGGUUAAGUCCCUUAACGAGCGAAACCCCUGUCGCUAGUUGCCAGCGGGUCAUGCCGGGCACUCUAGCGAGACUGCCGGUGUUAAACCGGAGGAAGGUGGGGAUGACGUCAAGUCCUCAUGGCCCUUAUGACCGGGGCUGCACACGUCCUACAAUGGCGCGUACAAAGGGAAGCAAACCCGCGAGGGGGAGCAAAUCCCAAAAAGCGCGCCCCAGUUCAGAUUGCAGGCUGCAACCCGCCUGCAUGAAGCCGGAAUCGCUAGUAAUCGCGGAUCAGCAUGCCGCGGUGAAUGUGUUCCUGAGCCUUGUACACACCGCCCGUCAAGCCACGAAAGUGGGGGACAUCCGAAGUCGCCGGGCUAACCCGAAAGGGAGGCAGGCGCCGAAGAUGGACUCCGCGAUUGGGACU